rnacentral:tRNA from 1 species
UCCCUCGUGGCGCAAUUGGAUAGCGCGUUAGACUGUUAAGCCGACUUUGGCGAUCUAAAGGUUGGUGGUUCAAGCCCACCCGGGGGAG